rnacentral:tRNA from 1 species
CGGACUGUGGCGCAAUAGGACAGCGCAUCUGUCUGAUACACAGGGGGUUGCUGGUUCAAGUCCAGCCAGUCCGACCA